rnacentral:lncRNA from 1 species
GCCUGGACCAUAAUUAGUGCUCAAUAAAUAUCAAUAAUUACCAGUACAAGAACUGGCUUUAUGCACAUUUGUUGAAGAAGAAAGGAAAAUGUUGGGAGAAAAAUAGAAAUCUCUGUGAAUUAUUUGUGAAUUUGGGAAAUUCAGAAUAUUCAUUUUUCUGUAUUUCCAUUCAAGCCUUGUGAUUUUUGUCUACUACAUUUUUCUUUCCUUUUACAGAAACAGAUGUUGUUUUUGGUGAUGUAAGUUACCAGGGUUGGGGGUCUGAUCUGGAGGAACUGGGAGGUGAGUUCCAGCCCCUUCCCUCAGUUUCUCAUCAUUGUGGAGCAGUCUUGCCCUCUUCCUUCGAUCAAGCUUCAAAGCUUCAUGGCAACCACAUUUAAUGUUUAUUGCUAAUGUUAUUAGUUUCUAAUCAGAGCCUACUGCGAUUAUUACCUAAUAGCUAUUGCUUUGCACUUCCAACCAGAUGUCAAAAAUAAUGAGCCAAUAAGACUGCUAUUAAUUUAGACUGAAUGACAGUUUUAGGCCCUCGGAGCUGAAGAUUAGGGGCCUCAUAAAAGCAGGGCACAAAUAAUUCGAGUGCUCAAAAGUAAUAGCAAAAAUGGUGAGAAUGUGAAUUAAUAGGUAAGUGUUUCUAAUUUACAAAUGAAACAUGCAGCUUGAAAUAUCAACACUUCUCCUGCAUUCUCCUGCGAUGAAUGGAGCAGUCCUCAUGGAUCCCAGCCUCCAGGAUUUGGGUAGAAUGGCUCAGAAAGUUUGCUGUCUAUAGGAAGAAGAGAUGAUAUUAGCAUAGAUCUGUUUACCUGGUCCUAUUUGGUUCCAGUGAGAGAAUGGGGCCAGGUCAGCAAGUGCCUAGAAGAGACCUUCUCCCGGCAUCAAGCGUUCCAUGAAACGUGUGUCCAUUUUGCUGACAGGCUCUGGUGCAUUCUGAUUGACUUCCAGAUGCCUUUCCUGACAUGCACCCCAUUGUAGAUGAUUAUCCUCCUUCUAACUCAUGGAUGCUGUCAUCCUGUACACCAUUGGGUAUGGGAUGCUUGGGUUCAAAUCUUAAUUGCAUUAUGCUCUGAGGGUGUGACCUUGAGCAAGGUGUCCAUCAUCUCUGAAUCUUAGCUCCCUCCCCUUUUAAGGUGUCCAUAUCAAUAGCACGUAACUUGUAGGAUUACCACUGAUCAUUGGAAGAAAUAGCAGAUACAAGGAUCUCAGCACAGUGCCUGUCACACCAAUGAACUGGAGAAAUUGUCACUGUUGCUUAAACACUAGGGCUCUGUUUCUCCUUCACCUUGAUCAUUUAUUCCCUCUGUUUAUUCAUGCCUUUAGGUACCUAUUUAUCAAAGCAGGAGAAAAAUUUUAAAAAGUUCAUUUCUUUUCUUCCUCCAGUCCUCAUAUAUUAAUCUGUAGACCCAAGCCUGUUUCAUUUCACUUUGUUCUACCAUUUUAAAGACAAACAUUGUCCAAAGGCAUGCUAUGGCUCCUUUUGGUAUAUAUUUGUUUACCAUGGUCCUGUUUGGUUCCAGUGAGAGAAUGGGACCAGGUCAGCAAGUGCCUGGAAGAGGAGACCGUCUCCCAGCAUCACGCAUUUCUCCAUGAAAUGUGUCUCCAUUUUGCUGACAGGCUCUGGUGCAUUCUGAUUGACCUCCAGAUGCACCAGAGCCUGUCAUAUAAGGGGAUGGGGUACGGAGGCGGAGACCCAGUCUGUGCUACAAUACCUUUAGUGUCUGGUGGGUGUCAUGGAGGAAAGAGGUCCCCGAGUGUAAGGGUGGGGUGAGCAGGGAGCAGUAAGGCUGCAGAAGGAGAUGGUGUCCCGUCUGGCCUGAGAAGAUGUUGUUGGAGAGACAAGCUAAUUGCUCUCAAAUGGCUACCUUUUCCACUAGGCACACAGAUACACUCCAGGAUGGAAUGCAGGCAGAAAUCAUGACCUCCAUCCACCUUUAACUUUCCAAGGCCUGGCCCAUAAACCCUCCCUGUCAGGCUUCCUGGUACCUCUUCCCUGGCUGCUAGCUGGAUGCUGAGGCCCUGGGGUGCUGAGCCACUGGUGGAGUGAAGCCUGGGCCUGAAAGGCUGGGUGAAACAGAAGUCAUGGGAUGGGCAGAAGAUGCUGAUCUAGGCUGAUACCUGGCAAACCCUACCUUGUCCUGCCCCUGACACUGCAGAUCUGAGGACGCGCUGGGGGAGCCGAGCAUCCAGGUCAGUGAGUGGAGGGAAUUUUUGUCCAACGUGCACCUUGACAGAGCUUCACUGACCACGGGCGGUGUCUCCCUGCUGCCACGCAGCACACCUCUGACCACAGACCUCUCUCCAGAGCCACGUGUUUGCUUCUCACCUGACAGGCUCUGUGAGAGCCCAUCUGUGCUUCCCUGGGAUGUCUGACCGCACGCAUCCCCCACUGUGCAUGGGAGCCCUGCUGGGCCCGUAGGUGGAAUUAUUUCUCAGUUUUAAUCUGAGUACAUAAUUGAGGCUUGUGCCAGCAAGGACUCCCAUCGCUUUCUUUCCUCACACUCCACACGUAGUGCUGCUCAGUGAUUUUACUGUUCCUCUAGGAAUGGCUCCCACCUGCUUAGAGUAUAAGAUUUAUCUCCUUAGCACACCAUGGGAAGUCUCCUAAAAUCCAUCCACUGCUUAUCUCUUUGGCCUCAGCUCUUGGCCCCCUGUGAUGAAACCCUGAUCUCUAGUCAUGCAGAGGUGCUUGCAACUUUCUGAAAGCUCCUUUCAAAGGUGCCUUUGCCUUCUGUUCCCUAUCCCUUCAGGGUCCUUCCCGGCUAGCCACUGCUCCUGGCUAAGUUCUGAGAGGUUGCAUCCACCUCGCGGGAGUGUUGGCCAUUUUCUCCCUUCGAGGUCCUUAUUGUUGGCCUUUCUCUCUUUCCCUACUAGACUCUAAGCUCCCUUAGAGUGGGGCCUCUGUCUCACCCAUCUCUCUGUGGCCCCCAUCUAGUGUGCGGUCAAGGCUUGCUGAGAGCUGCCUUUUCAUGUGUAUUAUGACAAUUCAGCCCAAUGACAAGUGGCUCACUCCAUCUCCAACACGCUCCUGUCAACCUUCCUUUUCCCUGGGUCUCUUCAGUUUAACCUUUUGUGGGCAUACCAUCAUGCAUUAGUUGGAAUCAGAUUGAUACUGGAGGUGUUUUUGUUUUCCAGAAAUGUCUGGGGAAAGUGUGCCUGUGUACUUUUCAUGUAUGUCCGUCGGAGGAAAAGUUUUCAUCAUUCAUUUAUUCUUGUAUCGAUUGCACAAAAUUGCUUAAGAUUCUCCUCUGUGUGUGGUUCCAUGGGAGCUUGGACCACUUUACAUGAUGAAUAGGACAGAGUAGAGUCCCUUUUGGGAAACAGGCAUCUGUAAAAUGCUAUGGGUACAUAAAGAGCCACCUAAUGGAAAUGGGUCACAGCUGGCACUCCAAAGGAGGCAAUGUCUGAGCUGAAUUGGAAGGAAAAGCAGGCAUUUGCCAAUGAGAACUUGGAGGGUUCUCCAGGAGCAGGGCGUGCAGAGAGCCCAUUGAGUGGAGGCGUGUAGGGAGCCAUGGGGACUUUGGUUUAUCUUAAGAACAAUAUGUGUUUGUGUGUACAAGGGAGGGGGCAGAAUAAGGAAUGGCAGAUAAAGCUGAAGAAGUGAGUAGAGGCCAGAUCACAGGGUCCUGACUGUGUCCUGGAUAAACACGGGGAUGCUGGAGGUUUAAUCAGGGUCAUGGCGUGGUAAUAUUUCCAAGUAGAAAGAUCACUUUGGUGGUGAAUUGCAAGGACUGGCCGAUUCCCCUGGUGGUAGGAAAAGAGGUGACCAGGCUGGUUUCCAGCGGAUCUGGGCUGGGGCUGAGCGUCUGGUUAGUGGUUAGGAAUAAGCUGAGGGAUAAUCUCAAGUCAGGCUCUGCUGUGGGGCAUGUGUUCCCUGCCGAGUGUGUGAGAUGUGAGUGCCUGUUCUGCUGGCUGUGCUUCCUUCCCCUGUCUCGGGGUGCCGGGGACUGAGCCCUGUGACUCCAAUUGACGGCUUCAUUUCACAAAUUAAACAUAUCAUGCUAGUGAACCGUUUCAGAGCCACAGCAUUACAGAAUAAGAAAACCACUGCAGCCCUAAGUCUACAAUGCUCAUGAAGCAAACAAUUCUCUGAAACAUUGACCCAGCACCUCAGAGCUCCCCAUAACAGGUCUACCUCUUUGGAAAGGUCAGACUUUUUAAAGGUUAAUUGUUACCCUUAAGAAAAAUGCAAAACAAACGGUAUGGCUGCAUAUUUAAUAGGUGUUUGGAACAGCAUUUCCCAGAAGCACAAUUCCUGAUGAUUUGAUUUUUAAAAAGAAUGGUCUAGAAAUAAAGUGCCCUUGGCAACUUCUGACUUGAAGAAAGUGAGUAUGCCACCUGUGGUUUAAGGAGUAUUAUUAUUAUACGUCUGAAAUGUCCUCUCCCUCCUCCCCUUUCCCCAAAGAAAACAAACCCAGCCAGACAGUAAUUUGACCAUUGCUAUGUCCUGGGUCUUUGCACAGUGGUGGCUGAACAGCUGAGCAUAGAGCGUCCAGGAGAUCUCAUCCUUGUCUGCCUUCUCUUGCCUACUCUUUCUCCCUCAGCUUUCUCCUCUGCUCCCAGCAUUGACCAGGCACUUGUCUGAAGCCAAGCUCUCCAUCAGACUCCCCAACACCUCCCACAUAGCUUACCGAAGAGCUCUCCCUGGACACCUUGCUGGGCGCCUCAGUGCAAUUUGUCCAAACCAAUUUAGCGCCUCUCUUUUCCAUGGCUCUGGUUCUGCCCUUAACUUCUUCCCUCUGCUGAGCUCUCCUCUCCUCCCUGCACUCAUCUUGCCCCCAGCUUGGAUUCUCCAGUUGUUUUCUCACGACUCAUUGUUCUUCUAGCAUGCUGUCCACCCUGGUGCUGGGUCCUACUGAGCUUUUUUCUCCCAAUCUGUCUCAGGACUGUCUCUUUUCAUUGUGGUGGCCACCACUCUAGACGGAACCUCUCUCCUGGAUCACUGCAAUAACUUCCCAAUUGCCUCUAUUACAGAUCAUCCAUUUUGCCCACUGACACAAGACAUUUUCUGGGAGAUCCAUUAUGAUUCUGCAAAUUCCUUGAUCAAAAUUUUUACUGUUUUCUUACUGUCUAUGGUAUGAAUCUCAGAAUUUCAGGGUUCACUGCCUUUCUACCUUAAUCCUUUACUACCUUUUCUUUUCAGUAACCUUCAUCACCCCCAAGUGGAUGGUCUCCAUUUUCCAAGCUGGCAGCUCACCCCCUCUCUCUGUGCCUCUGCUGCUGCGGUCCACACACCUGGAAUGCCCUCUGCACCCUGCACACGGCAUCCCCCCUCCUUCAAGCAUCGGUCAGAGGCCCCAUCCUCCUACCAGCUCCCUGAUCGCUCCAGUCUGGUGCAUUCAUUGUGUAUCAUUUCUCGCAGGCCCCUGGGUACAAUAGCUGUUUGUAUCCAUUGGUUAUUAAUCUGGGGGGAAUGGCGGCAAAUUUAUCUUAUAGUCCCACAGGUAAACUUUCUGAACCUCUGGUUUUGUCUGUAGAAUUGGUAUAGCCAUUCCUUCAAAAUAGGUGUUUGAAGAAUAUUCAAUAUUAAAACUAACUAUUUAUAAGUAUGUAAAGCUCCUAACAGAGUAUCUGACACAUAGUAGUAAACACACAAUUAUUGUCUAUAGCAGGUGCAGCCAUUUUCAAACGAAGGAAAAGAGGAAGGAAAGAAGGAAGGCAGA